rnacentral:rRNA from 1 species
GAUGAACGCUGGCGGCGUGCCUAAUACAUGCAAGUCGAGCGAACAGACGAGGAGCUUGCUCCUCUGACGUUAGCGGCGGACGGGUGAGUAACACGUGGAUAACCUACCUAUAAGACUGGGAUAACUUCGGGAAACCGGAGCUAAUACCGGAUAAUAUAUUGAACCGCAUGGUUCAAUAGUGAAAGACGGUUUUGCUGUCACUUAGAGAUGGAUCCGCGCCGCAUUAGCUAGUUGGUAAGGUAACGGCUUACCAAGGCGACGAUGCGUAGCCGACCUGAGAGGGGGAUCGGCCACACUGGAACUGAGACACGGUCCAGACUCCAACGGGAGGCAGCAGUAGGGAAUCUUCCGCAAUGGGCGAAAGCCUGACGGAGCAACGCCGCGUGAGUGAUGAAGGUCUUCGGAUCGGAAAACUCUGUUAUUAGGGAAGAACAAAUGUGUAAGUAACUAUGCACGUCUUGACGGUACCUAAUCAGAAAGCCACGGCUAACUACGUG